rnacentral:pre_miRNA from 1 species
CAGAGUUGGUGUCUCAGAAGGCAGCAUACUUGGAGUAUCUCCAUUGUGUCCUGGGCUCUGUUCCUCCUCACCCUCCUCACUGAGGGCACAGGUGA